UACAGAGGUCCCAAGCGUUGUUCGGAUUCACUGGGCGUAAAGGGUGCGUAGGUGGUUAGGUAAGUCCGAUGUGAAAUCUCCAGGCUCAACCUGGAAAUGGCAUUGGAUACUAUUUAGCUUGAGGAGUGGAGGGGGGACUGGAAUUCUCGGUGUAGCAGUGAAAUGCGUAGAUAUCGAGAGGAACACCAGUGGCGAAGGCGGCGACCUGGUCCUUUACUGACGCUGAGGCGCGAAAGCGUGGGGAGCAAACAGG
rnacentral:rRNA from 1 species